GAAAAGCAGGUCCCAGCCAAACAAUGACUCAUACGACAUAUUAAUGAUGGAGAUGGGGUCAUACUAUGGAUAUUUUGGGAUGGCAAGGUAAUUGGAUAUUGUUGUCAGGGGUGGUGCUUGUAGGUGGGGCUGAAUUGGACUACUUAUCUCAGUGCAUCUUAAGCUUCCAUCUAUGAAUGAGAUUGCUUUAUGGAAAGAAACACCAUGAACACUCCACUAUUGAUGUUUGUUCUUCUGACUCUACCCUGCUACAGCGCACAUGGGCAGAUAAAUCCUUUUGGAAUUCCAGUCUCCGUCCAUGCUGGGAAGUUCUACGGCACGUCUCCCAGAGAUCACGUCUGCGACAGGGUUAAUUAUAGCGGUCUAGAUUUCACCUGCUGUGAAGGAGUACGUCAUGAAGGGGCGGGGCUGUCCUGCUGUGGAAACAGGGUCUUUAACCUCACCCAGGCUUCCUGUUGUAAAGGUCAGUUAACUCUGAAUGUGAGCCAGCUGGUGUCAGAUUGCUGUGGGUGUAGGCCCUACGACCCACUCAACCAGCUGUGUUGUGACUCACGGAUCCUAACCAGGACCCAACCUCAUGCCAAGUGUUGUGGAAAAGAGCUUUACGAUGAAGACCACCAGCUUUGCUGUGGAAAUGUUUUGAAAGGAAGGAAGGUCCUGGCCAAAAUGUCCAGUCACCACCGAUGCUGUGGAGACCACCAGUUUGACCAGCAAAGCCACUGCUGCUGCUCUGAAACACUAUCCCCAGAGCCUCUCAAUGCAAGCUGCUGUGCAUCAACAAGUUCUAAUUACAGGGGAAUUGACGCGAGUUCUCCAAACUGUAUGCCAGGGGAGAGGCCCGAGGGUUGCUGUGUGAACCAUACAUCCUGCCAGGGGCAUCCUCACUCCCACCUCCAGACCUCUGCGGAAACACGCAGCCACACCCCAGGUCUCCACGAUGAUGCUGGCUGUGGCUCUCAGGUUUACAAUCCAGACCACAAGACCUGCUGUGCCGGGAAGCUGUCCAAUAGGGUGCUCGGAAAAAACCUGUGCUGCGGUAAAACUCCCUAUGCUGUAGAGGACCGACGGGUGCUGUGCUGUAACCAGACGUUGCACCGUGGGGUGGAGGCUGGGCACCAGUGCUCCCCAGGUGGCCACUUGUAUCGGCCAUCCCGUGAAAUUGUGUGUGAGUCACGUGUUCAUCUCAACGAUCUAGGCAAACACUGCUGUGGAGAAGAGACCUACGACCCUCAGGAUGAAAUCUGCUGCAACGGACACAAACACCGCAGGUUGGGGAACAUGUCCUGCUGCGGAGGGAAGGCCUACGACCCCAGAAGUGGCCAGAUGAAGUGCUGUGCAGAUACUCUGUACAACCUGCAGGUUCAGGACAGGCUCUCAGAGGAUGCCAAGUGCUGUGGGAAUAUCCUGAUGGAGGCCGGCUCCACCUGCUGCUCCGCCCCAGGACUAGACCUGCUCUACCCUACCCAGCCAGGGUUCACCUGCUGUGGGCACCGCUACCCCAACUCCUCCCUGUGGUCUUGCUGCGCGGGCGUCCUGCACCCAAGGACUGAACGAAACACCACCAGCAUGAACAUGAUUCCAGGACUUAGGAUUCUACCACUGGGGGACCUGAAGACGGAAAAGUUGUGUGACAACAAAGUUCUGCUAGGGACAGUGGAGAGUGUGUCUGUGAAGAAGAAUACGCGAUCCAUCGUGAUGGUGAACGUCAUGUCCAUGCAGGCCUGGCGUGGCCAUGUCAACGCUCUGCCUUCCCCUCACCACCUCACAUUACCCAACCACUGCAGCUCUCCUGAAUUGGUGCCAGGCAACACUUACCUCUGGGUGAAAACAAGACAUUUCCCAGACACCAUAAACAUAAUCUCUGAUCUCAGCGACCAUCCCUCCCCUCUCCAUUCCAUCCUCUCCAGGUGCUCAAAAUGAUACAUUUAACCAUGAUGAGGGUAUACAGUGUUUGUUUAUAAAUAUUGGCACAAAAAAAGCAGUAACAUUUUACUUGACACCCAGUGACACAGUCAUGUCCAUUUCAUAAUAUGUCAUAACAGCUGACAACCUGUCAUAACGUUUAUGAUAUGGUCAUAACACUGUCCUGACAUAUAUUUAAACUUGUUGUGACGUAUAUUGACGUAUACCUACUACGGUAGUUAUUUUAUGGCUUACGACACCAACAUAAGAGCGUAAAAACUCACAAAACCUACUACGGUAGUUAUUUUAUGGCUGGUUAUGGCACCUACAUAAGAGUGUCAAAACCAACAAAACCUACCACACCAGACAAAACAUUCCAUUACACCAUAGCCUACAUGUCAACAGUAUGUUCAUGCUAAUAUAUAUAUGCAGACACACGCAUAUAUAUGCACACACUGUAUAUAUUUUUUCUAUUGACCAUAUUAAAUUAUCAUUGUGAUUAUGCACACAUUGAUGACACACAUGCCCAUACCCCAAUGCUCUGUUGCUGAUGACUGGGAUGAAUGUAGGAGCAGAUUUCAAGAGCAGGACAAGGCACCCUCUUUUUUUUUUUUUACUGAUAUAAGGGCAUGUAAAGCGUAUCUGGCUUAUAUAAUUAUGAUGGUCAUAAUGCUUCUUGACAUGGUCAUUCAAGUGAAUUUUCUUAGUCCAAGUAAAGUGACAGGAUGGCCAUCAAGCAUCAUGACAGUGUCCCUAAAAAAAAACGUGACUGUAAAGAAUUCACAACAACAAAGGGUGUAGGAAACCGACUUUCAAACCAAAGGAAAUUGCACUCUUAUUUAGGUGUCAUUGUCAGCCAUAGAAUAACGCUCUCUACAGUAUGCCACAACAGGUAUAAAUGUAUGGGUCAUGACAGUGUUAUUACCAUAUGACACUGGGUGGCAAGUGAAGUUUGAGCAAAAAGCUUCUAUUUUUGGUUCUGAUGGGGUAGGACAGUUGAACUAAAGCAAAUGAGGCAUGCGUUAUAUUCUUCAAGAAACAAUUUGUAUGUCAUUCAUUUAAAAGUCCAACAAAUGUAUGUACAGUAGCUAUCACAGAUUGCCCCUUUUAUGUUAUCAAUAGAUGUUUAAGUUAUUUUUUGAUUUGCUUACAAAAAUCGACCACCGUUUUAUGGUCUCUCAAGGAGUCAUAUCUCAGGAUAAGCCAUAUUUUAUGAUGUUUGUCUGAGUGGUGUUUUCUGUUUAUGACAAAAGUUCAUUUAAUGUUAAUGCAAUUGUAUUGUCUUCGAUUCCCUCCUUCAAUUCCAUACUGAAGCUAUUUCUUAAUUGAAAGUUAACUUGUUCUACGUGACACCAACAGCGUAGGAGUAAACCUGUCUGUGAAGUGAUUUGUGGUGGUGGUGGUGGUGGUGGUGGGGGGGUCGUUACAUGCUCGCCCACUCCUACAAGUUGCCUCUGAGACUCGUUCCACCAAUGCAAUUAACAUCCCAGGGCACUGGGUCAAUGAGCAGAGUAUGUUAAUGAAUAAAGUAUUGUGAAACUAUGUAGAAAUGAGACGGAAUGUUUAUUAUGUAGUUGACAACCGCCUGGUUCAUCACAACUGACUGAAUCUGAGGUGACCUCAGACAGAAGAGACGUUGCCUGAAACUGGAAGUUGGGUCGCCGUGAGCCAUGCUUUUCCUCAGGGUACACCUUUACACAAUGAGGUUGAAGCCCGUGGGGCCGGAGUUGAAGACCCAUCAAAGUUAUUCCACCACCGCACAUGAUCGGUAAGUGUCACAAUUUAAAUUUUACAUUGAUAAGUUGUUUUGUAAUGGUUGAUUAUAUAUAUUUUUUUGCACAGCAGAGCUCAAUACUACAGACUGUGUGUUUGUCAGUAUUCUUACAAAUGCAUACUGUAUUACAUAGAGACUUUGAAGAAUAAAGCAAUCUUCUCUCGAACACAUUAAAUGUUAGGGGUGGACCCCUCUAGACCUUAGGUGUUUUAUUACAUUACUUCUUGUUGUAAAUUGUAAGUUACUGUAAAUAACUUAAAUGUUGUACUUAUGUUUUUACAUUUGUAUAGUGUGUUUUCUUGCAGACAUUGGCUGUGUGAAAGUAAGUUGUUGUUAGUCAAUUUGUUUGUAAGUAUAUAGCACAUGUAACUGCCUUGUAUUGCAGGUAUUGUUUGUAAGCACGUACAUCAUUUUAUAUUUUCCCAUUUGUAUAUUGUCUGUGAGCUGAAUGAGUCUGCUUUCUGGUAAAUAUUUUAAACUUGCUCGAAUUGGAUGUUGUUUACAUUUGUGUUGUAAAUGUAUUUAUCGCAAGCAAAAUUUUUAAUUGACUGUAAUUAACUGUUCAGUUGCCCACUUCCUUGCUGGUUCUUAUCCCUUAUCACUAGCCAUUACUCUUUUGUGUCCAAUUCCAAUUCAAACUAGGCCAGGGUUGGUUUGGAAGUGGACAUUGGUUUCUAGUUAGGGUUGACAUAUCUGGAGGUUCUAGAUUUGUGUAAGUAAUAUGGCAGAAGUGUCCCAGAGCCCAUUACACAGCAGGUUGGAGACCAACUGAAAAAAUAAGGGCUUAAUUGAAAUUUGAGGCUUGUACCUUGAUGUGGUGAAAUAACUUUUUAACUAAACCAGGUGCAUGUUAUUGAAAAUUAAUUCACCUUUUUUUUUGCUUUUUCAUCCUGGCUCCUCCCCUCUUUAGUCUGCUUUUGGCCAUGUUCCAAAACGGAGGCGACAAGACGAUAACCAGCUUAAGUCAAAUUUAAGCCCCUCUUCGAAGACUGGCUGCCUGCCAAGGACAAGUGACAGCAAGAACUAGCCGCAGCACCUCCAGCCCCUUUUCCCCACAAUUACUGUGUUAAGGAAAUAAAUUCCCUGUAAAUGAUAAUAUUCUCUGUCUGUCAUCCUUACCCAUACCUACAAUCGCAUACCUCUUUCACUCCACGUGGAGUUGAGUGUAGCAGGGUGUUGCGUUCCCUCCAAGAGGCGUACGUAACAAUUGACUUCAAUGCAAAACCUAGGAGGUUCAUAGGCCUCACCCCCUUCAAUAGACAUACAUGGUAAUUAUGACCACUUCUGGAGGACAUCCUCCAACCAAUCAAAGCUUUUGCAGUAUGAACUGACAUGCUGUCCAUCCAAUAUUAGAAUUACGAUCAGAGAAUUAAUCUAAUGAGUUGUACUGGGAUAUUGCCACAGAGCAUUAUGGGGGUUCUAUGUAAUGCAUAGCUUGGUGACAUUGUUGGAUAGAGAUUACGAGUGAAAAGUGUUGAGCAUUUUUGGGAUACUAUUCAAUUUAAAUUAGUUUUUUCAAAUGACAGGAGACGGAGGAAGUAUUUUGAUUUUAUAACUUUAUUUUUGUGUCCAGAGUGCAAUUUAUUUAAAUUUGCUUGCUAUAACUUCAGUAGCUAGCUAGCUACCAGCGAGAGUGUGCAAUUUUCUCCGCCAGAAUGGUAGAAUGGCCAAAGCUGCCGAAAAUGUUGUGGACUUUUCGUUGAAGAACCCCUUUCAUUCUCUGGGGUACUGUGGUAGGAGAAUCAGAAUUAGCUAAGUAACAUAGAUAAUUAAGAUGUCUUAUCUGAAGAAUAUGCAUAUAUGAUUGAACUGUUGAAAUCUUAUUAGAAUGUCUCCCUUUGUGUUAGCAGCUGCACUUCCUUCCCCAUAUGGGCCAUGGGGCCCAGAGAGGGGAGAAGUCAGGCUUGUCUAUCAAAUGUCCCUGUUGCUAUGCAGAAAAUCAGAAAGAGACUAGGGCAAAGGAAAUGUGUCUCUAAUAUGAAGCAUGUGAAGGUAUGGUGUGAGUAAUGGGGAACCAAUCACUUUUCUCCACAUUGUCUGUGUGUCGUUCACCCCCUCUUUGGGCCUUGGGGGAGAUUGUCCUCUCCCUUGGUUCCCUUUUUAGCAAGGUGGAGACUAAGUAACGAAAUAUGUCCUUUUGGUGUUUGGAAUUGUACGCCAUUGUAUUUCAUCUCUGAGGUUGCAUCUGUCUUGUAACCCAUUAAAAUAUUAAUUUUAAUGGGUUACAAGUAGGCUUUCCACUCAAGUAGGCUUUCCACUUUCCUCCAGUAUUUAUUUAGCAAAGAUGAUAACACAAAAUCACUCCGGACAGACACAAGAAAAAACAAAUUACAUAAAUGUUGCAGCAGCCUAGGCUACACCGAAGCAUUAGAGAUCUGACUUGCUGUAUGGGAUGAAAACGAGACUAUUUUUCAGUCUGAUCAACUGUAGGCUACUAAUUAGACCAGCUGCAUAAAGCCUAUGCGCCCUGUCCAUUUGGUCAGGGUAACUAAUUGGUAACGUUAUGUAUUUAUUAAUAGACCUAUAUGUGUGCCCGGAGAAAAUGUGAAUGUGAUCAAAUGUAGUUAAUAUUCAAAAUUGGGCUGGCUAGGCUGCCUAUACAUUUUUAAUCCAAAAUGAUUCACUGGAAUUAAGCAGUCAACAUAAUAGUGAUGACAGAUGUCAGUAAAUGUUAUGUGAGGCCUACAGUUGCAUAGGCCUGCAUCAUGCAAACAUGCAUAAAGCAAGCUCAGACCUGUGAGUUCUAUUGCCUAUCAGUUGUCUCGGUAGAAGAAAUCCCCCUCCUUAUCUAGUCUAAAUAUAAUUCAUAUGAACAAAUAUAAGGUAGCUGCAGUUUGACGGGUUUUCAUCCCCCCAAGCCCAGGAGUUUUUUAAACCAUAUGACCCGACUAGGAAAACUUCAUCUCAUCCCAGCCCAUAUAAAACCUUUUAACAACUGAUUAAUCACUGUCAUACUUUAUAGGGUCCAGAGUUUUCCUAGUUAGAUUAACAUAAGGGAAAAACUCCAGGCCCCAGAGGGUAAAAAUUGCCCCACUGCUCUGGGACCUAUGAUGUCACCAGUCUGUUUGCAGUUGUCAGGUAUGUGGAUGAUCAGGGCUUUAGUCAGGAAUGCUUCUUGGGAUACUUUGAUAGUCUGUUUGACUUGAUGAAUGUUGAGAUGUCUGAGUUUAAGUUCAUAGAGAAACUCGUUGUCCAAACCUACGAUGGUGCAGCUGCAAUGGAAUGUAUCUGCUAUUUGUAUUUACAACAAAGUCCCCUCCUGUUCCCUGAGUAAGAGGUGAUGACUACUCCACUCCACUACCAUUGUCAACUUUCUUCUGACAUGAACUGAAGCCACGUCUCAUGUGUCCGCUCAUCCACUGUUACAUUUAAUGUUUCCUCUCCAAGUACUGUGAGUACACCUAUCAAUUUCGUCUCAUUAAUGUAUGUAGAGUCAAUCACAAACACAAUCACAUUAUUAUACAAUGAUUUUACUCGCUACUUAGACUAACUCAUUCUUAGAUCUUUUGUCUAAAUGUGUAGUGUGUUGUGUGAUUGUUUUUUGUCUUCCCAGUCAAAUCCUGUCCUGCGUACUGGUCAAGCCUCUGAACACCUCAACUCAUGCUGUCACGACAUUCGCCGAAGUCGGUCCCUCUCCUUGUUCGGGGAGUGUUCGGUGGUCGAAGUCACCGACCUUCUAGCCAUCAUUGAUCCAUUUUUAAUUUCCCAUUGGUUUUGUCUAGUCUUCCUACACACCUGGUUCCAUUCCCAUCAAUUACAUGUUGUGUAUUUAACCCUCUGUUUCCCCUCAUGUCCUUGUCUGAGAUUGUUUGUUGUAUGUAGGUGUUUAUUGUUAUUCUGUUGUGUGAUGGGUUUUGAACCCUCUAUUUGUUAUUUUGUAUAUUCUGGUUUUCGGGUUUUUUGAUGUUUAUUAAAACAGCUCAGUUUUUUACCAAGUUCAUUCUCCUGCACCUGACUUCCCUGCCACCAACACGCACCACAUUACACCUGCAUCAUACCCUCAGUCAAUCACUGCUGUGAUCUGUGAUCAACAUUCCCAUUGCCUGUAAUAUUGUACUAUAAAUGUCAUUAAAAAAUGUUUUAGUUGACAUUAUUUUUGUCUUUGGCGAUUUUUGAAACACAUUUUGCCGACCGCGAGUUCCGCGCCUGAUUUGUAUCUUUGUCAUCGACAUAAUAGACCCUGGACCAGUUAUGGAGAGGAAACGAGGAGGAAAUGUCAAAUAAGAAAUUUGCUGUAGUAUUUAGUCUUUUCUGUCUUUACAUUUAUUUGCACACAAAAAAAGUCAGAACAACAGUUGGAAAAAGUAUUAGUAGAAUAUCUAGUCAACCAAAAUACAAUCCACAUGGCCUUAUCCAUGUGCUCUGUCUUGUGGAGACAAAUUGCCUCAUGAACCCACAAGCAAGUAUACAUGGUAAACUCUAAGUACUCUACUACAUUGCAAAAGGGUUUUUCUAAUGAUCAGUUAGCCUUUUAAAAUGAUCAACUUGGACUAGCUAACCCAACAUGCCAUUGGAACACAGGCAUGAUGGUUGCUGAUAACGGGCCUCUGUACGCCUAUGUUGUCACGACUUCCGCCGAAGUCGG
ensembl:lncRNA